ACUUGAGCUGGAGCAAAGUCACAACAUGACCUUUCUAUUUUUCGGUCGAUUCAUUACAUCACAACUUCAAUCGGCGUUUUCGCCCAUUCAGGGGUUAACAGGAGUCGAGUCGGACGCAUUAUUUAAAGCAAUUUGUGCAAUGCGGAUUUGAAGGUUAUUUGUAUUGAAAAUAUUUUAAUAGUGCGAGAGGGAGAUAGGUUGGAGAAGGAGAGGCGAGGAGCCACAGUAUAAGCAACGGUGGUGAAACAAACGAGAUUUUUUCAGGCAACUUAAACAGGGGCACAACAUGCAACCAAUAUCCAUUCACUCAAGGAGAGGUAAUAAUUACAAUGAUGAAAGAUGAAGACUGAUCGAAAAAAUUUGUUCUCUGUGUGAAAUAUAUCUCAAAUAACCACCUUGAUACACUAUACUAUAAUUAUUCUCUUGAUUUUGAAAAUUUCAAUCUAUCGUUUGUUUCAUUUCAAACUAUAAAUUAAUUACAUACAUUAUUUU